ACGCUCGACACCUACGGGAGGCAGCAGUGAGGAAUAUUGGUCAAUGGGCGCUAGCCUGAACCAGCCAAGUAGCGUGAAGGAUGAAGGCUCUAUGGGUCGUAAACUUCUUUUAUAUAAGAAUAAAGUGCAGUAUGUAUACUGUUUUGUAUGUAUUAUAUGAAUAAGGAUCGGCUAACUCCGUGCCGGCAGUCGCGGUAAUCUGAGCGGGCUGGCAGGC
rnacentral:rRNA from 1 species